rnacentral:rRNA from 1 species
UUAAGAUAGUAAGAGCAUACGGUGGAUGCCUUGGCGAUAUCUGCCGAUGAAGGACGCGACAAGCUGCGAAAAGCUGCGGUGAGGUGCAAAUGACCUUUGACCCGCAGAUGUCCGAAUGGAGCAAUCCGGCUGUGGUUAUGCACAGUCACCCAUGCCUAUGAGUAUGGGAGGGAACCAGGCGAACUGAAACAUCUAAGUAGCCUGAGGAGAAGUAAUCAAACGAGAUACCCCCAGUAGCGGCGAGCGAACGGGGCAGAAGCCCAAACCGCAGAAGGAAACUUUUACGGGGUUGAGGGCCGUCAUACGAACGUGGAAUCCAGCUGAAGCUUCUGGGAAGGAGCGCCGCAGGAUGUGAAAGCCAUGUAAGCGAAAGAGGAAGCGGAACAGACGGUACCAGAGUACCGCGGGACACGAGAAACCCCGUGGGAAGCAGGGGGGACCACCCUCCAAGGCAAAACACAGAUAUCGACCGAUAGCGCAUAGUACCAUGAGGGAAAGGUGAAAAGCACCCCGGGAGGGGAAUGAAACAGAACCUGAAACCGUAUGUUUACAAGCAGUCGGAGACCGUAUAUAUAUCAGGUCGACGGCGUGCCUAUUGAAGAAUGAACCGGCGAGUUAUGAGGUCCAGCGAGGUUAAGCAGGAAAUGCGGAGCCGAAGCGAAAGCGAGUCUUAACAGGGCGAAUAGUUGGACUGCAUAGACCCGAAACCACAGUGAUCUACCCAUGUCCAGGUUGAAGCACAGGUAAAAAUGUGUGGAGGACCGAACCUAUAUCCGUUGAAAAGGGUUAGGAUGAGGUGUGGGUAGGGGUGAAAUUCCAAUCGAACGUGGAGAUAGCUGGUUCUCCCCGAAAUAGCUUUAGGGCUAGCCUCAGGGUAAAGAUUGCAGGCGGUAGAGCACUGAUCAGGAGAGGGACCUACCCGGUUACCAAACCCAGUCAAACUACGAAUGGCUGCAAUUAUACCUGGGAGUCAGACUACGACUUAUAAGGGCCGUGGUCAAAAGGGAAACAGCCCAGAUCAUCAGCUAAGGUCCCAAAUGCCGUGCUAAGUGGCGAAGGAUGUGGCGUUUCAUAAACAACCAGGAUGUUGGCUCAGAAGCAGCCACCAUUUAAAGAGUGCGUAAUAGCUCACUGGUCGAGAGACGCUGCGCCGAAAAUGUCCGGGGCUCAAGCACGGAACCGAAGCUAUGGCAUUGCGUAAGCAAUGGGUAGGGGAGCGUUCUUAUGGGGAAGAAGCAUUACCGUAAGGAGAUGUGGACACAUAAGAAGUGAGAAUGCCGGUAUGAGUAUCGAAAAGAAAGGUGAGAAUCCUUUCCACCGAAAGCCCGAGGGUUCCUGAGCAACGAUCGUCGUCUCAGGGUAAGUCGGGACCUAAGCCGAGGCACAGACGCAUAGGCGAUGGACAACAGGUUGAAAUUCCUGUACCGGAUGGAGUCAUUUGAGCAAUGGAGUGACGCAGGAGGGCACAUGAUCGCGCGACUGGAAGAGCGCGUCCAAGUGCGUAUGUUGAAUCGGAGGCAAAUCCCCGAUUCUGAAAGCAGAGACAUGAUGGGGAGUUAUAAGCGAUUAUGACGAACUCAUGGAUCCCACACUGCCAAGAAAAACUUCUAGCGAGACGAAAUCCGCCCGUACCGUAAACCGACACAGGUAGGCGGGGAGAGAAUCCUAAGGUGCGCGGGAAAACCCUCGUUAAGGAACUCGGCAAAUUGCAUCCGUAACUUCGGGAGAAGGAUGGCCCUGAGUAGGCGAAGUGCAGAAACGCACGGAACAGAAAAGGGUGGCAGAAAAGAGGCCCAAGCAACUGUUUACCAAAAACACAGGUGCCUGCGAAAGCGAAAGCUGAAGUAUAGGUGCUGACGCCUGCCCGGUGCUGGAAGGUUAAGGAGAGAGGUUAGCGCAAGCGAAGCUUUGAACUGAAGCCCCAGUGAACGGCGGCCGUAACUAUAACGGUCCUAAGGUAGCGAAAUUCCUUGUCGGGU